AAAUAGAAAACUGGUUCAAACCGGUCGCGUUCCUCUGUUUCAGUUUGGGUUUAAGCUACAAAACACUCGUUUGCAUUAAACAUUCGCCAUUUUACAACAGCAGCGAUCGUAUUCCCGUUGUCGUGAGCCAGGAAAUACACCCCCUUUUUUGCGCGGUAUAUUUUUUUGUCAACCUUUCGGUCCAUUUUUUGCCAGAAACAUGGUCAAAUCCAAGCCAGCUGUGGCCCUAGAGCAAAGAAGACAUUCACCACGCCUGGCGUUGCUAAAACCCAACCCUGCACCAGCGGAGACAAAGAAAAAAGCUCCAGCAAAGAAGGGACCCAAAGCGAGGAAGGUCAAACCAGCCGAGAAUGGAAAGAAGGCUGAGGAGCCAAAGGCUGAAGCCGCUGAAUCCAAAUGAACGUCAGCUCACGUUGUCACUCUGUCUACUUGGUGAUUGUACAGUUUUAAAUAAGUAUUUUUUACCAAGUUUUAUAUUACAAAUGUCAUUUAUAGGUUUGUUUUGGGCUUGCACUUGAUGUAAACAAGACUUUGUGUCAUAUCCAUUAAAAAAAAAUGAAUAAAAAGAAUAAAAAAUAAUGAUAACCGUCCAUGUGUAGUAGACGUGGCAGUUUAGUUGGUCUAAUCCUGUUUUUUAUUUUAUUUUUUAAACUGCUGAGUAAUAGUCGUUUUGUUUUUUUCCAACAAGUCAAAAAAAACAACAUAAAUCUGAAGUACAACUGAAGGCAGCUACUGAAAUAUUGUUGAAAUUUGAAGGAGAAAAGAAGUGAAAAUGUUUUUGGUUUUUUUAUCUCCUUUGUAUUUUAAUGUUAAACUCAGUAUAAAAAAAACAGUUACUUACCAAACAUUUUUAAACACUGUAUGUCGACAUUAGAUGUAGAGAAAAAUGCCACAGAGAAAAAAAUAAUAAUGAUAAUAAUACUGUUAAUGGUUUUAAAAAAAGUUUGAUAAAAAAUCCAAAUAAACUCUGAUGUGAAUCUGAUGGUUCUGUUAAGUUAUGAAGAAAAACUGUCCUGACUUCAUGGUGGAUCUUAAUGUUCUGGAAUAAAGAUUUUCAAAAUGUCA